GACGAACGCUGGCGGCGUGCUUAACACAUGCAAGUCGAACGGAAAGGCCCUGCUUUUGUGGGGUGCUCGAGUGGCGAACGGGUGAGUAACACGUGAGUAACCUGCCCUUGACUUUGGGAUAACUUCAGGAAACUGGGGCUAAUACCGGAUAGGAGCUCCUGCUGCAUGGUGGGGGUUGGAAAGUUUCGGCGGUUGGGGAUGGACUCGCGGCUUAUCAGCUUGUUGGUGGGGUAGUGGCUUACCAAGGCUUUGACGGGUAGCCGGCCUGAGAGGGUGACCGGCCACAUUGGGACUGAGAUACGGCCUAGACCCCUACGGGAGGCAGCAGUGGGGAAUAUUGCACAAUGGGCGGAAGCCUGAUGCAGCAACGCCGCGUGCGGGAUGACGGCCUUCGGGUUGUAAACCGCUUUCGCCUGUGACGAAGCGUGAGUGACGGUAAUGGGUAAAGAAGCACCGGCUAACUACGUG
rnacentral:rRNA from 1 species